AAAACAGAGACAUUAAGUAGUUUGCCUAGAAACACAGCUAGUGAAUGCGGGAGAAACUAUGAACGAGAGAGGGACGGAGGUGUGAACUUGAGCCAGACCAGAAGGAGCUCCAGAGCGGCCGCAGGACGAGUCCGAGGAGCAGGCGGGCGCUCCAGGGAAAAACCACGCACAAAACCUUCUUCAGAGAAAAGGGAAGCACCAAACCUGACCGAGACAAACGGAGGCUUUUGAAAUAAAAAGAAAACACCGCAGGACAAACAGCCUCCCGUCCCCGGGUGCAGGUCGCCGUCACAGUGGUGACCUGGGAUUGCUUUCCCAGGACUGUGGGUCGGAUUUGGGUUUCUCCUCCCUGCAUUCCACAGCUGCUCUGGUCAUCGCAACGUGUUUAUUGAUCACUGAAGAAUCUCAAGUUUUGAGACAAGGAAGAAACACCCAUUAGGUCUCCAAAACAGCUGCGUUUCACAAACUUUAAGGAGACAGAACUUUUUUUUUUCUCCCUGGAACCUGUGAAAAUGUCCCUUUUCCAAGGAAGCGAAGGUUAAGAGGUCCCGUUCUCACAGACCCGCAGGAAUUUCACUUGGCUCCGAGCUUUGACCUCCCGGAAAGCCAUGGCAAAGCUGCUGCGGCUGUGCUGCUGGUGCUCCCGCCUGCUGCUAUUUUGUUACAACUUUCAGGUGCGUGGCGUCUACUCCAGAUCGCAGGACCAUCCAGGUAAGACUGUUUCCUUCUCACGCUGAGCACCGCCCUCCCCUCCCUGCCUAGUGUGGUA